rnacentral:rRNA from 1 species
AUGGUUUGCGGGAAAACUCUUCUCUCUCUGGUCUCACUUCAAGUCCUUCUAGAAGUAAAUAAAGGAAAUGGUUAUUCAACUACGACGCUGUUGGACAAUCGACCGAAUUCAAGCCCUAGCCCCUCAACUCGGACGGACUUGUGGAAAUCCUCGGAAACAAGUAGUGCUCUACUCACCUAUCUAUAA